UGGGGAAUAUUGGACAAUGGGCGCAAGCCUGAUCCAGCAAUUCCGCGUGUGUGAAGAAGGCCUUCGGGUUGUAAAGCACUUUAAGUUGGGACGAAAAAACCGGAGUGAACAUCUCCGGUCUUGACGGUACCGACAGAAUAAGCACCGGCUAACUCUGUGCCAGCAGCCGCGGUAAUACAGAGGGUGCAAGCGUUAAUCGGAUUUACUGGGCGUAAAGCGUGCGUAGGCGGCUACGUAAGUCGGAUGUGAAAUCCCUGGGCUUAACCUGGGAACUGCAUUCGAUACUGCGUGGCUAGAGUACGGUAGAGGGUGGCGGAACUCCGGGUGUAGCGGUGAAAUGCGUAGAUAUCCGGAAGAACACCGAUGGCGAAGGCAACCACCUGGGCCUGUACUGACGCUGAGGUACGAAAGCGUGGGGAGCAAACAGG
rnacentral:rRNA from 1 species